CCGAACAAGUUUUUAAAAUUGUUUCUCGGCGGGGGAGAUCUUGCGAGAUCCGAUAGAGAAUCGGAUGGAGAAGGACUCACGGGAAUGGCGGCCAACGGUGGAGGAGUAGUGAGAGUGUGGCGGCGACCCUGCCGGGCUCAGCACCGGCGUUGAGUGGAACGACGACGCCGUCGUCGUCGUCUUCUCGGCGUCAUGCGAGUCCUGCGACGAACUCUGCACGUAGUACGCCGGCCUACGCAGCGGCGACGAGAUCACGACUUGCUAGACUCGUCACCUCUAAGUCUGUCUUCUCAUGCUUGUGCCUUGUGCAUUUCUC
rnacentral:lncRNA from 1 species